AAUCAACGCUGGCGGCGUGCCUCAGACAUGCAAGUCGAACGAUUAAGACUUCCUUCGGGAAGUGCAUAAAGUGGCGCACGGGAGAGUAACACGUAAGUAAUCUACCCUCGAGUGGGGAAUAACGUUCGGAAACGAACGCUAAUACCGCAUAAUGCAGCGGCAUCGCAAGAUGACAGUUGUUAAAGGAGUAAUUCGCUUGAGGAGGAGCUUGCGGCAGAUUAGCUAGUUGGUAAGGUAACGGCUUACCAAGGCUACGAUCUGUAUCCGGUCUAGGAGGACGGCCGAAGACACGGACACUGAGUAACGGGUCAGCAUCCUACGGGAGGCAGCAGUCGGGAAUUUUGGGCAAUGGGCGAAAGCCUGACCCAGCAACGCCGCGUGAAGGAUGAAGUAUUUCGGUAUGUAAGCGUCGAAAGAAUGGGAAGAAUAAAUGACGGUACCAUUUAUAAGCUCCGGCUAACUACGUGCCAGCCGCCGCGGUAACAC
rnacentral:rRNA from 1 species